UGCAUCAAAAAUAUUUUUCCCAGUCUGUGAUUUGCCUUUGCAUCUUCUUCAUGAUGUCUCAAUGCGCCUGAGUUCUUAAUUUUAGCAAAGUCUAGUUUAUCAAUUUUUUUAUGUUUAACUUUUUUUAUGUUCUGUCUAGGAAAUCUUUGGCUCCCCUUCGUCUCAGAGAUUUUCUCCUAAGUUUUCUACUAGGAGCCUUACAGUUUUCGUUUUCACAUUUAGCUCCUCACCCCCCAACCUAGAGCCAGGGCCUUUUGGAAGAGCUGGUUUCCAAGUCUGCAGAAGCCAUAACAUUGACCCCCUGAAACUGCUGAGAGACAACUGGGGUGCAACAGAACACAAGACUGAUUUCUUCUUUCUGGCUGACCUCUAGAGGCUGAACGAGAAGCCUGCGUCAACUCCCAGGAGGAACAGAAAAGGUAUUGGACCUUUGAUUUGAAAAGGGUGGAGCAAACAAGUGGCGAACAGGAAUGGGACAUCAGACUGCAGAAAGCAAGCCUUCAUUGUUCGGAAUGAGUUUCCCCACCUGGAAUAGUCACAGAGACCUUGUGAACGAUACUUCUGAAUCUUGGGCAGUGAAAGCAGAGAACAGAAAAGGCAUGAAAAUCCAUUUCUGAUAUUCAGAGGAGCAAGAGGGUAAGAAAUACCAAACGACCAAGUGCCAUCACUUCUUCUGAAUGUCAAGGAAACUCAAGUUUGUUUGAAACAGCAAUGAAGUAGCAAGACCCC